GUCUGUGGUUUCAGUUACCCCUGGGUCAACUGAGAUCUGGAAAUAUUAAAUGGAAAAUUCCAGAAAUAAUUUAAAAGUUUUAAACUUUGUGCUGAUCUGAGUGGUGUGAUGAAGUCUCUCACCUUCCUUGCCCUGUCCUGCCUUACCCAGGAAAUGAAUCAUCCCUUUGUCCAGCAUAUCCAUGUUGCAGAUGGCUGGCUGCUUAGUUACUUAGUAGCCUUCUGGUUAUAAGGUCACAGAUCACAAGAAGCAGCUCUGAGGAACAUGAGUACAGUGAUGAAGCUCCACAGGAAGAUGAGGGGUUUAUGGGCAUGUCCCCUCUCUUACAAGCCCAUCAUGCUAUGGAAAAAAUGGAAGAAUUUGUUUGUAAGGUAUGGGAAGGUCGGUGGCGAGUGAUCCCUCAUGAUGUACUACCAGACUGGCUCAAGGAUAA
rnacentral:sRNA from 1 species